AGUGGAUGGGGAGCAACCUAGUUGUGCGUGUGUAAAGGUAGUGCCAAGAAAAGCGAUGAUCAUUUUGAAAAUCAAUUCCCGGUACCCGAAACCGACACAGGUGGGCAAGUAGAGAAUACUAAGGGGCGCGAGGUAACUCUCUCCAAGGAACUCGGCAAAAUGACCCCGUAACUUAGGGAGAAGGGGUGCCACCGAGAGGUGGUCGCAGUGAAGAGGCCCAGGCGACUGUUUAGCAAAACAUAGGUCUCUGCAAACUCGAAAGAGGAGGUAUAGGGGCUGACGCCUGCCCAGUGCCGGAAGGUUAAAGAAGUUGGUCAGUCUUAGGAUGAAGCUAGCGACUGAAGCCCCGGUGAACGGCGGCCGUAACUAUAACGGUCCUAAGGUAGCGAAAUUCCUUGUCGGGUAAGUUCCGACCCGCACGAAAGGCGUAACGAUCUGGGCGCUGUCUCGGAGAGAGGCUCGGCGAAAUAGGAUUGUCUGUGAAGAUACGGACUACCUGCAUUUGGACAGAAAGACCCUAUGAAGCUUUACUAUAGCUUGGAAUUGUGUUCGGGCUUCCUGUGCGCAGGAUAGGUGGGAGGCGUAGAAGGUAUUCUUGUGGGGAUACUGGAGCCAACGGUGAGAUACCACUCUCAGGAGGCUAGAAUUCUAACUUAAUUAAGGACAGUUUCAGGUGGGUAGUUUGACUGGGGCGGUCGCCUCCAAAAAGGUAACGGAGGCGUACAAAGGUUCCCUCAGACUGGUUGGAAAUCAGUCGAAGAGUGCAAAGGCAGAAGGGAGCUUGACUGCGAGAAGUACAGUUCGAGCAGGGUGGAAACACGGUCUUAGUGAUCCGACGGUGCUGUGUGGAAGGGCCGUCGCUCAACGGAUAAAAGUUACUCUAGGAUAACAGGCUGAUCUCCCCCAAGAGUUCACAUCGACGGGGAGGUUUGGCACCUCGAUGUCGGCUCAUCGCAACCUGGGGCGGAAGUACGUCCCAAGGGUUGGUCUGUUCGCCCAUUAAAGCGGUACGUGAGCUGGGUUCGGAACGUCGUGAGACAGUUCGGUCCAUAUCCGAUGUAGGCGUGAGAAUAUUGAGAGGAGCCUUCCUUAGUACGAGAGGACCGGGAAGGACGCACCGCUGGUGUACCUGUUAUGAUGCCAAUUGUAAACGCAGGGUAGCCAAGUGCGGAGAGGAUAACCGCUGAAAGCAUCUAAGUGGGAAGCCCACCUCAAGAUGAGUAUUCUGGUGUAAGGUCACGGGAAGACGACCCGUAAAUAGGCACGAGGUGGAAGUGCAGAGAUGUAUGAAGCCGAAGUGUACUAAUAGACCGUCGGCUUGACC
rnacentral:rRNA from 1 species